rnacentral:rRNA from 1 species
UACGUAGGUGACAAGCGUUGUCCGGAUUUACUGGGCGUAAAGAGCGCGCAGGCGGUCGUUCAAGUCGCGUGUGAAAGCCCCCGGCUCAACUGGGGAGGGUCACGCGAUACUGAUCGACUGGAAGGCAGGAGAGGGUAGUGGAAUUCCCGGCGUAGUGGUGAAAUGCGUAGAUAUCGGGAGGAACACCAGUGGCGAAGGCGACUACCUGGCCUGUUCUUGACGCUGAGGCGCGAAAGCUAGGGAGCAAACGGG